CAGUAAACAUGCUGUGAAGGAAUUCCUUGAAGCAGCUGGUGACGCCUUCAGGCCCAAAGAACAGACAUUAGGACCAGUGAAGCGGUUCGUCUCGGGGCUGAAGGACAACAGCAGCAGAUGUUCGCUGCACAGCCACACUUGUUAGAAACCUCAGCCUGGUUCUUUGCCUCCUGAGACCUCGCCGGUGUCCCUGCUGCCCCCUCAGAGUCCUGCUCAGCCUCAAGGCCAACUUCCCAAACUUAGAGCGUCCAGUAAGAAGAGCAGAGAACGUCUGGGUAGCAGCGAUCGGAGGAGCAAAAAACACCUCAAGGAUUCACCAGAAAGUGGCAGCGGAGCUCCGGUGCAGGGAUACGUGACGGAGCUCAGCGUCCAGGCCAGGGAGAGCCUGAGGUGGGAAGGAGCGCUGCAGGACCCCCAGGCUGAGGCCAAGAGGCUGGAGCAGUACAGGACCAACAGGAGGCAGCGUUACAUCGCUCACAGAGAGGCUCUACUGAAAGAAACCCAGGAUGCCUUGAGACAGACUUUUCCUAAAAAGAGCAACGAGGAAAGUCUGAAUGUGAACAACAGGAGGCUACAUCACUGCUGCAUCUGAGCUCAGACUGAUAUUUGUUCCCAGUUUAAAACAGAUUCAGGCACGGUUAAAUACAAAGAGAAGAUCCUUUGGACGGAACAGAAGCUGAGCAUGUUGCCAGUUCAUUACCCUUUAAAGCUCCCAGCAGAAAUGCUGUCGAGUACAAACUGCGUCCCCUCAGUGCCACGGCUGUCACAAAGACAGAACCUCCUCCUGCUGAAUAGGCCUGUUAAAAACUUAAUAGAGGAUCUGCACAGUUUAUCUGGUGCUGCUGAAUUAUGCAACGCUUCCAGAAAAGACCCAAAGUUGAUCUUCCAGGACUGAAACCCAAUCAGGAUAACACCUCUGAGGCCCACUCUUAUCUGUCAGCGAGGUUGAGGAGGGUUAACUGGAUGGGAGUCACAUUACUUUUUUCAACAUAAUGUAAAAAUAUAGAAAUGGGUUUAAAAGCUCAGUCUGUUCAGCUUAUUAUUCACUUGGUUGACCUGUGAGCCAGCGUGCGAAAACUCAAACUCAUUAUUUCUUUCUUUCUUGCUUUCAUAAGGCAAUUAAAAGCUACAUAAACGAUUCACAGUAACAUGUAGAUAUCACAUUUAAGGGGGAAAGUUUUAAUUUCUUUACCUCUUACCACCUGCCUGCUGCGAUGUUCAAAUGUAGUAUGAUGCAAAAGACAAUCUAAAAUGUUUUUCAGAUCAACCUUAGUGAGGAAAAAGAUUUUGUGACUAAUAUUAUUGGACAGAUUAGCUGUUGUUCCUGUGAUGUUACCACCGGUGGAUGAUAGAUGGCAGAAAAGUCCCGCUGAGUCAGUCAAUGCAAAGACAGAAGUGUUGAGCCUGAGAUUUUCCUUUUUAAUGCAUGAACAAACAUGACAAUGAGUUUAAAUGACAAGUUCACCGCUGUUGUUUCUCCUUGCGAUGAGAACAACGCUAACAAGAUAUUCAGCAUUUGAACUUCUUCUUACAUGAAGUGAAUCUUCAACUUGUUCCUCAGGAGAACAGGUAUAAUUUUCGUACGUCAAGAAUUCAUAAUGAGCCAAAUUACUUUCUGUAGGAAUGUGUAUGGAUGGAAACGAAGGCUUAAAGCUGUUUUUGAUAGAUGCGUUUUAAGCUGUGAGGAUGCAGGACCGUCAGUGUUGCCUUCUGCCAGUAAAAUAAACAGAAACAAGGAGAUUUUUUUACAAUUAACUUUGAAAGUCUAACUCAAACGCGUGAUAAACAUUGUGCCAAGUCUGUCCUUACUUGUCUGUGAUCUUAUGCAAUUAAUUUUUUUAGCUUUAAUGUGUUAAAUAACAUUGAUUUGCCUGAUAUUCAAUUCUCCAAAAAAUGAAUAGUUUCAUCUCAAAAUAACAAUUGAUAUGGAAAAAAUGUAUUAUACCAAGAUAAGCAUAUAUCCAUACUGGAGCUGUCAUAAUAUUACAUUUUUACUACAUGUUUAUUGUAGUCUCAUUAUUGCAAUGUCUGUAGAAAAUUAGAAAAAAAUAAUGCUACCAGUCAAAUUCAUCUUUAAAGUUGUUUAUUUUGUGUUUUGUCUCUUUUUUGGAAAAUAAAAUGAACUGAAAAAUAGCAGUGUAGGGAAUUGGAGAGGGGAUUAUAACCGUGCUGUAUAUUGUUGUUGAAUU
ensembl:lncRNA